CCUACGGGGGGCUGCAGUGGGGAAUAUUGGACAAUGGGGGGAACCCUGAUCCAGCCAUGCCGCGUGUGUGAAGAAGGCCCUCGGGUUGUAAAGCACUUUCAGUGAGGAAGAACGCCUGGUGGUUAAUACCCAUCAGGAAAGACAUCACUCACAGAAGAAGCACCGGCUAACUCCGUGCCAGCAGCCGCGGUAAUACGGAGGGUGCGAGCGUUAAUCGGAAUUACUGGGCGUAAAGCGCGCGUAGGUGGCUUGAUAAGCCGGUUGUGAAAGCCCCGGGCUCAACCUGGGAACGGCAUCCGGAACUGUCAAGCUAGAGUGCAGGAGAGGAAGGUAUAAUUCCCGGUGUAGCGGUGAAAUGCGUAGAGAUCGGGAGGAAUACCAGUGGCGAAGGCGGCCUUCUGGACUGACACUGACACUGAGGUGCGAAAGCGUGGGUAGCAAACAGGAUUAGAUACCCUGGUAGUC
rnacentral:rRNA from 1 species